UGGAUCGAUGAUGAGUCCUCCAAAAAAAACAUUCCUUGGAAAAGCUGAACAAAAUGAGUGAAAACUCAUACCGUCAUUCUCAUCGGAACUGAGGUCCAGCACAUUGCUUCCUCUGGGGCCUUUACUAGUGAGGGACAACUUCCACUAGUCCCUAUAGGUUCUAACACCCAUGGCGUUCACAGGUGAAGGUCUCCUGUCAUAUUACAAACAUUCCCCCCACUCCCCUCCCAAAAAAAGGAACAUUUCCUCUGUGUCAGGUACACAGGUCAGAGAGUCAUAGGGUGACUGGCUGCUCUGUGAUGGCAUAGUGGCCGUGGAAGUGGAUGGAAAUGUCGCAGGCUUAGGGGAGUGUGGGGCUGGCCUCGGCUUGGUGAGCUCCCAGGAAGGGGGACCUGGAAAUCGCUGCGGGCAUCCUUGCAUAGAGGACCAGGUACGUGUUCCAGUUCUGCUUUCAAGGAGAGCAUGAGGCCCAGGCCUCAGACAGUCCUUGGUCUUGAUCUUUGGUUAGCUGAGGACAGGGGAGUGCCAAGGGUGAUAGGGGAGAGCGCACAGCAAUGGAUGUUGUGGCAGACAGCUAAAGCCUUUCUGUCCCUCCUUUCACGGUCAGUCCCAGGGGGCCCCCAGCACAGACUUUUUUCACCUCUCGAGCUGUGAGAUUCCUGUGGUGUUGUGGCCAAGCCUGGGCAGGAAGGUACCCCAGAGAAAAGGUUGUAGAGGGCUCACGUGGACAUGCAUGCCAUCAGUGGUCUUGGGCUGUCAUUUGGUGGUGAUGGGCUUUCCAGGGAUUUCUCUGGUGGAUGACAGGUUGGCCAUUGGGGGUCUUCAAGGGCAGGUCCUAGGGAGCAUGAGGGUCGGGCUGAUGCCUGUGGUCCUGGGUCACUCCAUUCUUCCUGGCAGAGUAGUAGAAGUGUCCAUCUUCCUGGAAAUGGUCUCUUGGCCCGCCAUUGCCAGGCGGCCCCACCUGCUGCAGCUCGUGUGAGCAAAUACUGCUCUGGAUCCCAUUUCCCGCUUUGAAAGCAGCUUCCAUCCCAAAGGCGUCCAGAGGGAAUGUGCCCUGGCCCUGGCCCUGGCCUGGGACUCUCCGAUGGGGUCCAGUCACACUUGGCGUAUUCAUGGAGGUCCUUGUGCAUUCCAGGCAACACAUGUGCAAUACCAGGGGCACUGCCGUGGAGAGUCUCUUGAUUUGGGAUGCCUCCUCGCCUUUGUGUGUUGGCGAUGUUCCAGUAUUGGAUUCUGCUACAUCCUCAGGGCAAUGAAGCGUUUCAGCUCACUUAGCCGGUUUGACAUCAUAGUGCAGCCAGGACAGCCGUGCCACAUUGGCAUGGCACAUAGUUGACUUAGGACAGUCGGAAAGGGUUGGUGGUUCUAUGUCUCGCAGCUCACUUCAUAGCUGUUUGCAUGUAAACCUGGUGAUGGUGUUGAGAUGGUGUUGACUUGCUGACGUUGGGGUGGUUGGUAGUGCAGUUAAGUUGGCUGCAUGAUGGGAUGUUGCCUCAGAUGUCGGUGCAGCGAAGCCCUGUAGGUGUGUCCAAUGCAAGGAAAAUGAAAGGUGGUGUGUCCUGUCCACCUUGUCUUUAGGGGUUCAGGCAGGAAUGUCCUGUUGGAAAACUAGCCAUUCCCUUUGUGUGUCCUGAAGGCAUGGUGCGGGCAUGUGAACUGAUUGGAGGAAGGAAGUGUGUGUCUUGAGGUCCUUUGGCUGGGUUCAGAAGACUGUCUCUGGCCUUGAUGCCGUGUGCCGUGUUUAAGACCAACGUGGUGGCCAUUGCAAAGGUGCCUUCCAGUGCAAGUUUUGGUUGGUUUGGUGUCAGGUGUGCCUUACCUGGGAGAGCGGCGAGAGACAGUGUCUGGUCACGACAUUAUAUGCCCCGUAAGGAGGACUGUGUGCUUGCACCGCCAGGGGUGCUGGCUGUUAGUCGAGGGACAUCAGGCCAAUGUCUGUCUGACCCCUAGGUCAAAAUUCGCAUCCUACUGAUUGAAGGCCUUGGGUCUCGAGCCUUUUGGUUGCAGGUGUGGGGAUGGUUUCCAGGUCUGGAGGCUGCCAACUAUGACAACCCGUUGUGCUGUUGGGAAACAUCUGUGUGGGGGAGACACAUACACAUAGACACACUCACUCUGACAUACACACCUACACAUGCACAGGCGUGCACAGCCACAGGCAGAUAGAUGCAGCAAUGGGUGUGUGCUAUUGUUGUGGUCACAUGUGCUUCCUAGGUGUCCACAGAGUGACAUGGGUCAGGUAUAUUCAUGAAGAUGGAGGUCUGUCAUGGAGCCCAAGGAGAAGCCGGUGUGCAAGUUUCCCUGUGGGAAAGAAUGGGAUUGAAGUGGUGACCAGUGGACUUGGGCCCGUUUCUCAAGCAUGCAUUUGAUUUCUUUACACUUCUCAGCAGCAGUUGUCAUGAGAGGUCUGCCGCUUGCUGGCAAGGAAGAUGGUCAAUUCUUCUGACCAACAGAGGCUGCCUUGAGUCCUGAUUUGGUGUGGCCUGGCAUCUAUGGUGCACCCAAUGCUGGUGAGUGGCUCAGGGUGGUAAGCAUUCCUCUGCCCUGUGUGCAGAGGUGUCUUUUGAAUUUUGAGACCUGCAAAGAGCUGUUUCUCAGCAGGCCACUAAUGGCAUGGCGAGUUCCACUCCCAGAGCUGAUUGUCUGUGUUCAUUGCUCAGUGGUGUGGCUCUGGGUUCCCCCCAGGAUGCUGAAGGUGUUUAAGGUCAUCAGCUCUCCCACUGCCCAGCCUGUGGUGUCAAAUGUUCUGCCUCUUCGAACGUGCUUGGAUCGAUGAUGAGUCCCCCAUAAAAACAUUCCUUGGAAAAGCUGAACAAAAUGAGUGAGAACUCAUACCGUCGUUCUCAUCAGAACUGAGGUCCA
rnacentral:snoRNA from 1 species